rnacentral:rRNA from 1 species
GGACUCAGUGGAGACCGCCGGGGUCAACUCGGAGGAAGGUGGGGAUGACGUCAAGUCAUCAUGCCCCUUAUGUCCAGGGCUUCACGCAUGCUACAAUGGCCGGUACAAAGAGUUGCGAGCCUGUGAGGGUGAGCGAAUCUCGGAAAGCCGGUCUCAGUUCGGAUUGGGGUCUGCAACUCGACCUCAUGAAGUCGGAGUCGCUAGUAAUCGCAGAUCAGCAACGCUGCGGUGAAUACGUUCCCGGGCCUUGUACACACCGCCCGUCAAGUCAUGAAAGUUGGUAACACCCGAAGCCGGUGGCCUAACCGUUGUGGGGGAGCCGUCGAAGGUGGGACUGGUGAUUAGGACUAAGUCGUAACAAGGUAGCCGUACCGGAAGGUGCGGCUGGAUCACCUCCUUUCUAAGGAG